rnacentral:tRNA from 1 species
AGCCUUAGGGUGAGUGUUCAUGUCGAAUUGCAAAUUCGGAGGAGUAGGAGAUUUCCCUACUGAGGCUU